rnacentral:tRNA from 1 species
AGGGAUGUAGCUCAGUGGUAAAGUGCUUACCUCAUAUGCAAGAAGCCUUGGGUUUAACCCCAACACUCCUA